UACAGAGGUGGCAAGCGUUGUUCGGAAUUACUGGGCGUAAAGGGCGCGUAGGCGGCUUUUUAAGUCAGACGUGAAAUCCCCCGGCUUAACCUGGGAACUGCGUCUGAUACUGGGAAGCUUGAGUUCGGGAGAGGGAUGUAGAAUUCCAGGUGUAGCGGUGAAAUGCGUAGAUAUCAGGAGGAACACCGGCGGCGAAGGCGGCCCUCUGGAUCGUGCUGACGCUGAGACGCGAAAGCGUGGGGAGCAAACAGG
rnacentral:rRNA from 1 species